rnacentral:rRNA from 1 species
CGCUGGCGGCGUGCUUAACACAUGCAAGUCGAACGGAUUUAGUUGGGAGCUUGCUCCCGACUAAGUGAGUGGCGGACGGGUGAGUAACGCGUGAACAAUCUGUCUCAUACAGGGGGAUAACGCAUCGAAAGAUGUGCUAAUACCGCGUAGGACCACGGUAUCGCAUGGUACUGAGGUGAAAGGAGCAAUCCGGUAUGAGGUGAGUUCGCGUCUGAUUAGAUAGUUGGUGAGGUAACGGCCCACCAAGUCAACGAUCAGUAGCCGACCUGAGAGGGUGAACGGCCACAUUGGGACUGAGACACGGCCCAGACUCCUACGGGAGGCAGCAGUGGGGAAUAUUGGGCAAUGGGCGCAAGCCUGACCCAGCAACGCCGCGUGAAGGAAGAAGGUUUUCGGAUCGUAAACUUCUGUCCUAUGAGAAGAUAAUGACGGUAUCAUAGGAGGAAGCCCCGGCUAACUACGUGCCAGCAGCGGC